GUGGGGAAUUUUGGACAAUGGGCGAAAGCCUGAUCCAGCAAUGCCGCGUGCAGGAUGAAGGCCCUCGGGUUGUAAACUGCUUUUGUACGGAACGAAAAGCCUGGGGCUAAUAUCCCCGGGUCAUGACGGUACCGUAAGAAUAAGCACCGGCUAACUACGUGCCAGCAGCCGCGGUAAUACGUAGGGUGCAAGCGUUAAUCGGAAUUACUGGGCGUAAAGCGUGCGCAGGCGGUUUUGUAAGACAGUGGUGAAAUCCCCGGGCUCAACCUGGGAGCUGCCAUUGUGACUGCAAGGCUAGAGUGCGGCAGAGGGGGAUGGAAUUCCGCGUGUAGCAGUGAAAUGCGUAGAUAUGCGGAGGAACACCGAUGGCGAAGGCAAUCCCCUGGGCCUGCACUGACGCUCAUGCACGAAAGCGUGGGGAGCAAACAGGAUUAGAUACCCGGGUAGUCC
rnacentral:rRNA from 1 species